UUUAAAGUUUAAGAUUGAGCAUUCUGGUGUUCCAUUUAGGGCUGCUUAAGUCGCAUUCGCAUGCUGCAAUGCGAGGGUCAAAACACAUUGCGGGGCGGGGCGUGACACUUUCUCUCUUUCCCUUCUCCGAAUCCGUCAUGCUUAUGUUUUGAAUUGUUGGUUUUGAAUUCCUUCAAAACCCUCCUUGAUUUCAUUGAAGGUUUGAUUUUUCGAACCCUACUCCUUAUUUGAAAGCUAGAUCUGAAACCCUUCUUCUUCUUUAUCCUUGGUUUCACGCAAGGAUUUCCCCUUGCCUCUCCGAUUUCCCCUUGCCUCUCCGAUUUCCCUUUGCCGCUCAUACCUCCCCCUUGCCACUCGUAUGUCUACCAAGAAAAGACUAUCAACUUUUGAAAUUUUCAUCGUUGGUGUUCAUACCAUAUGGGAUCUGGAGAAUAGUAAGGGUUUGACUUCGAUCUGAGCAGGGUUUGGGGGAAGCGAACACGAGUAGGUUGCUAAUCCAUAGAGAUAAUCAGAGAAGGUAUUUCAAUCUCUCGUCCUUCUGUACUUGAUGGCAAAAACUAUUCUAACUGAAAGCCUCGCAUGAUAUUAUUUCUCAAAACUCUUGAUGGAACGACUUGAAGAGCUAUUGUAGCUAGAUGAGAACCACCAAUGAUCAUCGUAGAUGGUCAGUCCAUUCCUAAAUCUGAAGUUGAUUGGACUGAUGCUGAAGAACAAGCCUCUAUGGGAAAUUCUAGAGCCAUUAAUGCUAUCUUUAAUGUGUUGACUUGAAUGUGUUUAAAUUGAUUAACUAUUGUAGUUUUGUCAAAGAAGUUUGGAAAAUAUUGAAGGUUGCAUAUGAAGGCACUACAAAAGUGAAAAUAUCCACAUUACAGUUGGUAACCUCAAAAUUUGAAGCUUUAAAAAUAUCUGAAGAUGAGUUUGUAGCUGAAUAUAACGAGAGAGUUUUGAAAAUAGCCAAUGAAUCAUUCAAUCUUGGAGAAAAGAUUUCUGAAUCCAAGAUAGUGCGAAAAGUGUUACAUUCUCUGUCUGGAAAAUUUGACAUGAAGGUUACAACUAUACAGGAAGCACAUAACAUAACUAAGCUAAAACUGGAUGAACUAUUUGGGUCUCUUCUCACGUUUGAAAUAGCCAUAUCAAACAGAGAAAAUAAAAAGGGUAAAGGUGUUGCUUUUUAAAUCGGUAUAUGAAGAAGAGUCAAUUGACAAUAAAUCUUCAAGUGAAGCAAAUGUAAACGAGUCCAUAGCUCUUCUAACAAAACAAUUUUCUAGAGUGGUAAAGAAGUUCAGAGAUUUGAAUACAGUUGGAUCCAACUCUAGAAACUCAAUUAACUUCAGAAGAAGAGAUGGUGAAAGCUAUAAUAGAAGGGAUAAUGAAGAUUCUAAUAGAAGGGAUGGUGACAACUUUCGAAGAAGAGAUGGUGAAGGCAAAAUUUCAAAUGUAGGGAGUGUGGAGGAGUUGACCAUUAUCAGGUUGAAUGCUCUACAUUUUAAGAAAGAAAAAGAAGAAUUUUUGUGCUACAUUAUCUGAUGAAGACACUGAUGAUGGUGGUAUAAAUCCAUUCAUUGUAAAUAUAACCGAGACUAAUUCUGUAGUUGAAGAUGAAAGUGAAGAUACUCAAGGAGAAAGUGAAAGUGACUUGACCUUUGACCAGUUGAAGACUAAAUGGAUAGAAGAUUUAGAAGCCAGAGCUUUACAGAAAGAAAAAAAUACAGUCUCAUAUGUUUAUUGUCAGUAAUAUAUUCUCUAAAACAAAAAUUAAAGGAGGUUCAGACAUAAUAUUAUCAGACUGUGAAAUCUGUUAAAAUGUUAAAUUUGGUCUCUAAAAAUCUAGAUCAAAUACUGAGUUCAGGACAGUCUUGUUCCAACUGAUGUGGUCUUGGGUUUAACUCAUCAGUAAAGAGUAUUAGUCAAGCAAAUGAAAUAAAGUUUGUUCCUACUACUGUGAGCAUCAAAUCUGAUCUACUAGUUCAAAUAAAAGCUGUUAGCUCUUCCAUAAAAACAGAUAACUGGGUGUGCCAUUUUUAUGGUAAAAAAGGUCAUAUUCGUCCUUUUUGCUAUGCCUUACAAAGGUAUAAAGUUCAUUAUCAGAGAGUUACUUAUCACUCAUUGAAGCACAAACUAAACUCAUUUACUUAAAGAAGCAAGAGAAGCUAUAACGAAUGGAGAGUCAAGAAUUUGAGAAAGUGUAAUAUUGCCUUCACAACAGUUUACUCUUCAACUGAUGUUUGGUAUUUUGAUAGUGGUUGCACCAAACACAUGACUGGAAAUAGAUCAUUCUUUUCUGAACUGAAAGAGUGUACCUCUGGACAUGUUAAGUUUGGAGAUGGUGCAAAAGGAAGAAUCUUGGCAAAAGGAAAUAUAGACAAAUAUAAUCUACCAUGUCUAAGGGAUGUAAAAUAUGUUGAAGGGCUCAAGGAAAACCUAAUUAGUGUCAGUCAACUUUGUGAUCAAGGUUACCUUGUAAAUUUCAACAAAGAUAAUUGCAUAGUGACUGGUGCAGAUAAAAGAGUUCUUAUGACUGGCUGUAGACAAGCUGAUAAUUGUUACCAUUGGGUAUUAAACAAUACUAAUGUAUGUCACUCAAUCAAAGAAGAUCAAACUCGACUAUGGCACAGGAGACUUGGAAUGUGCUAGUUUAAGUAGUAUUGAUAAAGCUAUAAAGAAUGAGGCUAUCGUAGGGAUUUCAAACAUUGAGUCAAACAGUAAGCUCUUUUAUGAUGGUUGUCAAUUAGGAAAGCAAAUCAGGGCAUCUCACAAAAGAAUAAAUGAGUGUUAUACAAACAGAGUUCUAGAAUUGUUACAUAUGGAUUUGAUAGGUCCUAUGCAAACUGAGAGUCUUGGAGGGAAGAAAUAUAUGUUAGUAGUUGUGGAUGAUUUCUCUCGCUUCACUAGAGUAAGAUUUCUCUGAGGAAAAUCAGAUACUGCUAAAGUAUGCAUCAAUUUAUGCUUAAGCCUUCAGCGUGAACAAGAGAAGAAUAUUGUUUGAAUCAGGAGUGAUCAUGGAAAGGAAUUUGAGAAUGAAGAAUUGAAUAGUUUUUGUGAAAUAGAAGGGAUACAUCAUUAAUACUCAUCACCUCUAACACCAUAGCAAAAUGGAGUAGUAGAGAGAAAGAACCUAACGUUACAAGAGAUGGCUCAAGUUAUGAUUCAUGCUAAAUCUCUCUGCCACUAUAGUUUUAGGUUGAAGCUGUAAGUAUUGCUUGUCAUAUUCACAAUAGAAUUACUACUCAUUCUGGAACUACUGUAAAUGAUUUAUGAAAGGGCAGAAAACCAAAUAUUAAGUGUUUUCGUGUCUUUGGAAGUACUUAUUAUAUUCUUGCUAAUAGAGGGUAUUACAGAAAAUGGGAUGCUAAAUUAGAAAAAGGGAUUUUUUUAGGAUAUUCUCAUAAUAGUCGUUCUUAUAGAGUAUUCAAUAAUAGAACUAGAGUGGUUACAGAAACUAUUAAUGAGUUUUGAAUGAUAAUGAGCAAACGUUAUACAGACAAACAGAUGAUGAUGAUGUUCUACCACCUAAACCUUCUGUUGCACCUGAAUCAACUGUUGCUUCACAGUUGAUACAAGUGUAAAUAACUUUGAUGAUAGCUCUAAAUCAAUUCAAAGAAGGAAGUAAUGGCGGAUGUAAGUGAAAAUAUACCAUCUUCACAUGUCUAAAAGAAUCAUCCAUCAAGUUCCAUAAUUGAAGAUCCCUUAGCUGGGAUUAGUACCAGGAAAAAUGACAAGAUUUAUUUUGCAAAGAUGAUUGCUAAUAUUUGCUACACCUCAUCUAUUGAACUUACAUUCGUGAAUGAAGCUCUCAAAGAUGAGUUCUGAUGCAAUGUGGAAGGAAUUAUUGCAAUUCAAAUGAAAUAAUGUGUGGAAUUUGGUUCCUAAACCUGAGGAAGCAAACAUCAUAGGAACUAAAUGGAGAUUUAAAAAUAAAACAGAUGAGAAAGAACAAGUAAUAUGAAACAAGGCCUAAUUAGUUGCCCAAUGCUACUUUCAGGUGGAAGGUGUAGAUUUUGAUGAAACCUUUACACUUGUAGCCAGACUUGAAGCUAUAAGCCUGUUACUCAGCAUAUCGUGUGUUCGUAAGUUCAAACUAUAUCAGAUGGAUGUUAAAAGUGCCUUCCUGAAUUGGUACUUGAAUGAAGAAGUUUAUGUAGUUUAGCCCAAGGGCUUUGUUGAUCCAAUGUAUCCUCAACAUGUGUAUGAACUCAAUAAAGCUUUAUAUGGUCUAAAGCAAGCAACCAGAGCGUGGUAUGAACAACUCAUGAUUUAUCUUGUUUAUAAAGGACACUCCAGAGGAGGUGUUGACAAUA